CGAGCACGCGCGUGUGGCAUAUCAAUAAGCGGAGGAAAAGAAACUAACAAGGAUUCCCUUAGUAACGGCGAGUGAAGCGGGAAGAGCUCAAAUUUGAAAUCUUCAAGGUUCUACCUUGACGAAUUGUAGUUUAUAGAAGUGUUUUCUGUUAGUAGAGUGGCAAAAGUUCUUUGGAAUAGGACAUCAUAGAGGGUGAGAAUCCCGUAUUUGGUCAUUCUCUUCCUAGCUUUGUGAUACACUUUCAACGAGUCGGAUUGUUUGGGAAUGCAGUCCAAAAUGGGUGGUAAAUUUCAUCUAAAGCUAAAUAGUUGGCGAGAGACCGAUAGCGAACAAGUACCGUGAGGGAAAGAUGAAAAGAACUUUGAAAAGAGAGUUAAACAGUACGUGAAAUUGUCAAAAGGGAAGCGUUUGACACCAGUGUUGUUUUUCCGAAAAUCAAUUAAGAAUGUUUUGUUUUUAAGAAGUUAUGACUUCAUCGGCUUGCUCCUUUCUUUAUGGAACUUUCUUAAUGCACUUUUCGGUUAACAAGUCAACAUCAAUUUCUUUUGUUGUAAAAGGGUAUGAGGAAGGUGGCUUUCUUUUCGGAGAAAGUGUUUAUAGCCUUGUGCCUCUGCAAUCGGAGAGAUUGAGGUCUGCAGCGUAGAUCCUUCGGGGUUAGAUACAUUUGUGCUAAGUUAUAGCUUUUAAUAGACAACUUGUUGACUAUGUUUAGUCUUGUAGCUUACUCGCUUAUGCUAUUUUACCUACGCUUAGGAUGUUGAGCGCAUGUCUCUCUCU
rnacentral:rRNA from 1 species